rnacentral:rRNA from 1 species
AUUGAACGCUGGCGGCAGGCCUAACACAUGCAAGUCGAACGAGUGGCGGACGGGUGAGUAAUGUCGGGGAAACAGCCUGAUGGAGGGGGAUAACUACUGGAAACGGUAGCUAAUACCGCAUACCAUCAGAUGUGCCCAGAUGGGAUUAGCUUGUUGGUGGGGUAACGGCUCACCUAGGCGACGAUCCCUAGCUGGUCUGAGAGGAUGACCAACCACACUGGACCUGAGACACGGUCCAAACUACUACGGGAGGCAGCAGUGGUGAAUAUUGCACAAUUGGCUCAAGCCUGAUGCAGCCAUGCCGCUUGAAUGAAGGAGGCCUUCGGGUUGUAAAGUACUUUCAUCGGGGAGGCGUUACCCGAAGAAGAAGCCCCGGCUACCUCCGUGCCAGCAGCCGCGGUAAUAC